rnacentral:lncRNA from 1 species
UGUGCCUCCAGACUUUGAAGCUUGCUAGCUGUCUUAGCACAAAUACUCCUAGAGGCUUGCAAUUCACUGUUACGCUUGGCCACAGCUUCUUUUAACAUUUUUGUUUCUUCCUCCAUGGCCAGUAAGCGUUCUGUGAGCAACUGAUUCUCUUUCUGAUAUUUAUGUGCAUUGUCUAUUGAAAAUUCAGGCAAUUGCGACAAAUGUGCCACAGGAGGCUUUACUGGAGAUCUCUUCAUCCGAGUUUCCCCUUGAUCACGGCCUAAGCUUUCAACUUCUAGCUUCAUUUGUGCCAACGCAGCAGGACCAGGCAACUUCUUUCGAACAAGACCACGUAAUCUUUGGCACUCUGCUUCCAGCUUAGCUAUUUUCUUUACUCCUUCCAAAUGCUGCUUGUUUGCCACUUCUGCUGAUCUUACAGUCAUGUUCUUUUCCUCAUUACGGAUUUCUAACUCCUUCGUAACUAUAUGGACUUCAUACUUUAGCGAAUUUAUUUCCUUUUGACAUGAUUCAAUAUUGCUGUUCAGAAGUUCUAUCUCUGCUUCAGCCUGUGAUUUUUCCUCAUUUAGCUUGAUCAGCAUGUUUGAACGCUCUUGCAAAGACCUUGAAAGUGCAGCAUUUUCAGCAGCAGACCUGCGCAAUUCUUGGUCCAAGUUGGAUAUUUUUGAUUCAAAGUCAAGCUUUAACUUGUCAAUCUGUUUUGUUUUGUUGACAACAACUUCAUGAAGUUUUUGUUCAUGUUCUUCCUUCAGGUUUCGUAUCUGCCGCAUGCAUUCCUUGAGAGCUCCAUCCAGGUGUGAUGCCCGAUCUUCAGCUGUUAGCUUUAACAGUGUAACGGAUUCUAGAUGGUUUUUCAAAGAUAAAGCUUCUGCCUCAG